rnacentral:rRNA from 1 species
UACAGGGGGUGCAAACGUUGCUCGGAAUUAUUGGGCGUAAAGAGCGUGUAGGCGGCUUUACAGGUCCGUUGUGAAAACUCGAGGCUCAACCUCGAGACGCCGGUGGAAACCGUAAGGCUAGAGUCCGGAAGAGGAGAGUGGAAUUCCUGGUGUAGCGGUGAAAUGCGCAGAUAUCAGGAAGAACACCCGUGGCGAAGGCGGCUCUCUGGGACGGUACUGACGCUGAGACGCGAAAGCGUGGGGAGCGAACAGG